rnacentral:rRNA from 1 species
UUGGUUAAGUUAGAAAGGGCGCACGGUGGAUGCCUUGGCACUAGGAGCCGAAGAAGGACGGGACUAACACCGAUAUGCUUUGGGGAGCUGUACGUAAGCGUUGAUCCAGAGAUUUCCGAAUGGGGGAACCCACUAUCUUUAGUCGGAUAGUAUCCUUACGUGAAUACAUAGCGUGAGGAAGGCAGACCCAGGGAACUGAAACAUCUAAGUACCUGGAGGAAGAGAAAGAAAAAUCGAUUUCCUGAGUAGCGGCGAGCGAAACGGAAAGAGCCCAAACCAAGAAGCUUGCUUCUUGGGGUUGUAGGACACUCUAUACGGAGUUACAAAAGAAAGUUAUAAAUGAAGCGGUCUGGAAAGGCCCGCCAAAGACGGUAACAGCCCGGUAGUUGAAAUAGCUUUCCCUCCAGAGUGGAUCCUGAGUACGGCGGAACACGUGAAAUUCCGUCGGAAUCCGGGAGGACCAUCUCCCAAGGCUAAAUACUCCCUAGUGACCGAUAGUGAACCAGUACCGUGAGGGAAAGGUGAAAAGCACCCCGGAAGGGGAGUGAAACAGUUCCUGAAACCGUGUGCCUACAAGUAGUUAGAGCCCGUUAAUGGGUGAUAGCGUGCCUUUUGUAGAAUGAACCGGCGAGUUACGAUUUGUUGCAAGGUUAAGCGGAAAAAGCGGAGCCGUAGCGAAAGCGAGUCUGAAUAGGGCGCAUAAGUAACAGGUCGUAGACCCGAAACCAGGUGAUCUACCCAUGUCCAGGAUGAAGGUAAGGUAAUACUUACUGGAGGUCCGAACCCACGCACGUUGAAAAGUGCGGGGAUGAGGUGUGGGUAGCGGAGAAAUUCCAAUCGAACUUGGAGAUAGCUGGUUCUCUCCGAAAUAGCUUUAGGGCUAGCCUCGAGGUAAAGAGUCAUGGAGGUAGAGCACUGUUUGGACUAGGGGCCCUUCUCGGGUUACCGAAUUCAGAUAAACUCCGAAUGCCAUGUACUUAUACUCGGGAGUCAGACUGCGAGUGAUAAGAUCCGUAGUCGAAAGGGAAACAGCCCAGACCACCAGUUAAGGUCCCCAAAUAUAUGUUAAGUGGAAAAGGAUGUGGGGUUGCUUAGACAACCAGGAUGUUGGCUUAGAAGCAGCCACCAUUGAAAGAGUGCGUAAUAGCUCACUGGUCGAGUGACCCCGCGCCGAAAAUGUACCGGGGCUAAACAUAUUACCGAAACUGUGGAUGAACCUCUUUAGAGGUUCGUGGUAGGAGAGCGUUCUAAGGGCGGUGAAGUCAGACCGGAAGGACUGGUGGAGCGCUUAGAAGUGAGAAUGCCGGUAUGAGUAGCGAAAGAAGGGUGAGAAUCCCUUCCACCGAAUAUCUAAGGUUUCCUGAGGAAGGCUCGUCCGCUCAGGGUUAGUCGGGACCUAAGCCGAGGCCGAUAGGCGUAGGCGAUGGACAACAGGUAGAGAUUCCUGUACCAGUGCUAAUUGUUUAACCGAUGGGGUGACACAGAAGGAUAGGGAAUCGCACGAAUGGAAAUGUGCGUCCAAGCAGUGAGUGUGAGAAGUAGGCAAAUCCGCUUCUCGCGAAGCAUGAGCUGUGAUGGGGAAGGAAAUUAAGUACGGAAGUUCCUGAUUUCACGCUGUCAAGAAAAGCCUCUAGGAAGAGUAGUACUGCCCGUACCGCAAACCGACACAGGUAGAUGAGGAGAGAAUCCUAAGGUGAGCGAGAGAACUCUCGUUAAGGAACUCGGCAAAAUGACCCCGUAACUUCGGGAGAAGGGGUGCUCUAUUAGGGUGCAAGCCCGAGAGAGCCGCAGUGAAUAGGCCCAGGCGACUGUUUAGCAAAAACACAGGUCUCUGCAAAACCGUAAGGUGACGUAUAGGGGCUGACGCCUGCCCGGUGCUGGAAGGUUAAGAGGAGUGCUUAGCUUCGGCGAAGGUACGAAUUGAAGCCCCAGUAAACGGCGGCCGUAACUAUAACGGUCCUAAGGUAGCGAAAUUCCUUGUCGGGUAAGUUCCGACCCGCACGAAAGGCGCAACGAUCUGGGCACUGUCUCAACGAGAGACUCGGUGAAAUUAUAGUACCUGUGAAGAUGCAGGUUACCCGCGACAGGACGGAAAGACCCCGUGGAGCUUUACUGCAACCUGAUAUGGAAUGUUUGUACCGCUUGUACAGGAUAGGUAGGAGCCGAAGAGACGUGUGCGCUAGCAUACGAGGAGGCAAUGGUGGGAUACUACCCUGGCUGUAUGACCAUUCUAACCCGCCACGCUUAGCGCGUGGGGAGACAGUGUCAGGUGGGCAGUUUGACUGGGGCGGUCGCCUCCUAAAGAGUAACGGAGGCGCCCAA